rnacentral:rRNA from 1 species
AGAGUUUGAUCCUGGCUCAGGAUGAACGCUGGCGGCGUGCCUAAUACAUGCAAGUCGAGCGAGAAUUUUUCAAAUGACACUUCGGUUGAUUUUGGAAAAGGACAGCGGCGGACGGGUGAGUAACGCGUAGGCAACCUGCCCCUGACAGAGGGAUAGCCAUUGGAAACGAUGAUUAAAACCUCAUAAYGCCGAAGGAACACAUGUUUCAUCGGCCAAAGAUUUAUCGGUCAGGGAUGGGCCUGCGUCUGAUUAACUAGUUGGUGAGGUAACGGCCCACCAAGGUGACGAUCAGUAGCCGACCUGAGAGGGUGAUCGGCCACAUUGGAACUGAGACACGGUCCAAACUUCUACGGAAGGCAGCAGUAGGGAAUCUUGCACAAUGGGCGAAAGCCUGAUGCAGCAACGCCGCGUGAAGGAUGAAGGCCUUCGGGUUGUAAACUUCUGUUCUUAGGGAAGAAGAAAGUGACGGUACCUAAGGAGAAAGCCCCGGCUAACUACGUGCCAGCAGCCGCGGUAAUACGUAGGGGGCAAGCGUUAUCCGGAAUUAUUGGGCGUAAAGAGUGCGUAGGUGGUUAUCUAAGCGUAAGGUUUAAGCGUGCAGCUCAACUGCAUCUCGCCUUGCGAACUGGACUACUUGAGUGCAGGAGGGGAAAGCGGAAUUCCUAGUGUAGCGGUGAAAUGCGUAGAUAUUAGGAGGAACACCAGCGGCGAAGGCGGCUUUCUGGACUGUAACUGACACUGAGGCACGAAAGCGUGGGGAGCAAACAGGAUUAGAUACCCUGGUAGUCCACGCCGUAAACGAUGAGCACUAGAUGUUGGUCCCGAAGGGAUCAGUGUCGCAGUUAACGCAAUAAGUGCUCCGCCUGGGGAGU